AGCUUUUUUAUUGAUUGUAUGGCACUUAUGGAUACAAUACUAUGUCCUACACAUGCUCCAGGUAGAAAAUAUUGGUACUCAAAUUGAAUAAUAAAAGUGCUUUAUGUUUCCAUUCUCUUCAUGAUCCUAACCACUGGGCCUGAUAUGUAUUGAUAAGUAAUACACAAAUUCUUUAAUGCUUCUGUAUUCCUCAUAUUACCUUAAAACAACAAAGCAUUCUCACUUGUGCAUUGGCUAUUGCAUUUUUUGAUAUUUAUAUCAACGUAGACAACAUCAAGAGCAAAUGAUACAAACAGAUUUAGAGCGUACCUCCUUUGAGUAGUUAUCUAUCCAUCAAAAUCAUAUAUUCAUCUUUGUCAAUGACCUUCUUCAGCCUACAUAUCUUCCACCUUAACGCUUUUCAUCAAGUGAUUUAUCUCCUCAAUCUUAUACCAUUCACAUCUAAGUCAUAGUUACCCACUUACCCCAUAUUUUUAGAUCAAUGACAUAUAAACUACAUGGUAAAAACCAUUGGCAAAUAUGGAACUUGGUGACAGGGACCUGACAGUUCAUUAACUUGCUCAAGUUUAGCUAAGGGAAAAGCACAGGCCAAGAUGAAAGCUACAAUGAAUAAUAGACCAAAAUGAGCCUUACAAACAUUUAUGAGCAUUUUUGUACGAGCCUUUAAUUUUUGAGGUGGUCGGCAUAACUUAAAUGGUUACUAACAAAGCUAAAGAAACUAUGUUUAUAAGCUAAUAAUGACUUCUACUUCAGAUAUGUUUGAUCAGAAUAUAUGCAUAUGGUAAACAGAGUAUGCACAUUUGUGGUUUUUGUAAACUUAACCAGAAUGCAAAACUCUACUCUAUUUUUGUAAUUGUGUGAGCUACCAAUUGGUAAUUAACUUCCAAAAUAAACAUUCCCCUUUUUAUAUUAUAUUAGUAUAAACUUAAGUUCACAACACAUUAUUUACAUUACUACUUGUAGUUAGGAUAAUUUUAUAUAAAGACCUAACUAAAAGCAACGUUGUUUGCAUUGUACUAUUUGGGAAGCAUUAUAUUUGAAUCAAUGCAAUAAAGGUUAUUUUGGCUUUAACUUUUGUAGAAUUAGUAAUUAGAAACAGAAAAGAGAGAUGAUUUUCCCCUCCUGUUUACCUUUAUUUAUAAAAAAUAUACUAAUCCAAGUCCAAAGUAUAUAAGGAAUCGGAAUCCUAAUUACAUAAUAAGGAAUUAAAUUGCUUUUGAUUUUGUUUUUAGUUUUAUUUGGUGUUUCAUUUUGAGAUAAGGCGUUGUGAACAUUCCUAUGAGAGCUGUAUGGAGGUCAUGGCAAUGCGAACAAAGCUUACAAUGUGAUCCAACAUUCUACAAACAAACAAUUGCAUUGAUAUGAGUUUCUUGGUAGUAUGAACAUGACAAUUUUUAUAAGUCUUUUCAUAACAAUCUUCAUAUACAGACCUGCUAAAUUAAACAAUUGCAUUGAUAUGAGGUUUUUGGUAGUAUGAACAUGACACUGUUGUCAUCACAAAGAAUUGAAAACAGAAAAAAUAGAGAAUAACCACAGAAAAAGACUGGGCUCGGAAUGGAAAAGAGACCUGGUGUCCUCAAGUAUUUCCAACUUGCAACGAUUCAACAAAGUACUUAAGAAGGCUAAUACAUUCAUGCACUUUACAAAAAAAUAAUUUGCACUCAAAUCUUGUUAACAAGCUCCUACCGUAAAUAAGAUAACGAUGAUAUAAAUUUCAAAA